rnacentral:rRNA from 1 species
GAUGAACGCUGGCGGCGUGCUUAACACAUGCAAGUCGAACGAUGAAGCCCAGCUUGCUGGGUGGAUUAGUGGCGAACGGGUGAGUAACACGUGAGUAACCUGCCCUUAACUCUGGGAUAAGCCUGGGAAACUGGGUCUAAUACCGGAUAGGAGCGUCCACCGCAUGGUGGGUGUUGGAAAGAUUUAUCGGUUUUGGAUGGACUCGCGGCCUAUCAGCUUGUUGGUGGGGUAAUGGCUCACCAAGGCGACGACGGGUAGCCGGCCUGAGAGGGUGACCAGCCACACUGGGACUGAGGAACGGCCCAGACUCCUACGGGAGGCAGCAGUGGGGAAUCUUGAACAAUGGGCGCAAGCCUGAUGCAGCGACGCCGCGUGAGGGAUGACGGCCUUCGGGUUGUAAACCUCUUUCAGUAGGGAAGAAUCGUAAGUGACGGUACCUGCAGAAGAAGCACCGGCUAACUACGUG